rnacentral:rRNA from 1 species
AAGUAAGUAAGGGCGUAUGGCGGAUGCCUUGGCUCAUAGAGGCGAUGAAAGACGUGAUAAGCUGCGAUAAGUUACGGGGAGGUGCUAUAUCCUUUGAUCCGUAAAUUUCUGAAUGGGAAAACCCAGCUGGUUGAAGACCAGUUAUCCUGCUUGCAGGAGGCUAACCCGGAGAACUGAAACAUCUAAGUACCCGGAGGAAGAGAAAACAAUAGUGAUUCCCCUAGUAGCGGCGAGCGAACGGGGAUUAGCCCAAACCAAUAAUGUUCCGGCAUUGUUGGGGUUGUAGGACUGCACUAUGGAGAAAUAAUUUAAAGUGGAAGUAUCUGGAAAGUUACGCCAUAGAGAGUGAUAGUCUCGUACACGUAAGAAUUAUUAUCCUAGCAGUAUCCUGAGUACCACGGAGCACGAGAAAUUCUGUGGGAAUCUGCCAGAACCAUCUGGUAAGGCUAAAUACUCCUAUGAGACCGAUAGCGAACUAGUACCGUGAGGGAAAGGUGAAA